AAUCAACGCUGGCGGCGUGCCUCAGACAUGCAAGUCGAACGCGAAAGUUCCCUUCGGGGAAUGAUUAGAGUGGCGUCCGGGUGAGUAACACGUGGGUAAUCUACCUUCGGGUGGGGAAUAACAGUCGGAAACGACUGCUAAUACCGCAUAAUGCAGCGGCACCUAAUGGUGACAGUUGUUAAAGCGGGGGAUCGCAAGACCUCGCGCCUGAAGAGGAGCCCGCGGCGGAUUAGCAGUUGGUAGGGUAACGGCCUACCAAGGCUUCGAUCCGUAGCCGGCCUGAGAGGGCGGUCGGCCACACUGGCACUGACAUACGGGCCAGACUCCUACGGGAGGCAGCAGUCGGGAAUUUUGGGCAAUGGGCGAAAGCCUGACCCAGCAACGCCGCGUGAAGGAUGAAGCUUUUCGGA
rnacentral:rRNA from 1 species